UACGGGGGAGCAAGCGUUGUUCGGAUUUACUGGGCGUAAAGGGCGCGUAGGCGGCGCGACAAGUCACUUGUGAAAUCUCUGGGCUCAACCCAGAACGGUCAAGUGAUACUGUCGUGCUAGAGUGCGGAAGGGGCAACUGGAAUUCUUGGUGUAGCGGUGAAAUGCGUAGAUAUCAAGAGGAACACCUGCGGCGGAAGGCGGGUGCUGGGCCGACACUGACGCUGAGGCGCGAAAGCCAGGGGAGCG
rnacentral:rRNA from 1 species